rnacentral:tRNA from 1 species
GGGAAUGUUGGCUUAGUGGUAGAGUGCUUGCCUAGCAAGCAUGAAGCCCUGGGUUCAAUUCCUCAGUGCCA